rnacentral:sRNA from 1 species
AAACACAGCAAAUAAGAUAAGAGUAAGAAAGGAUCUCUUCACUCUAUUGAAAACUGAAUAAAUCUCUGAAAUAUUGAAAACUGAAUGAAUCUCUGAAAACAAAUGAUGAAUAGCUUAUGUCUCUGAAGAUAGGGAUUGCAAAGAACUUGAUAAAAGGAACUUAGGUCUAAACAACGACCUCUAAAACUAUAUAUAAAUCCUAUAAAACGUCCAUGGACUAAUAAUGCAAAUAGGGAAGUCUUUUGGGGCAAAUUUCCACUUUUGUAAACUUGAAAGCAUAAUGGACUUUGCUAGGCCGAAACUGGUGUCGAUCGUCACCAGAAGUGUGUUGAUCGACACUCUGCCUGAAUCUGGAAUCCGAAAUCGUCAUUAGCUUCCUUUUCCUUAACUUUUGCUCCAAAAUGUCUCCUCAUCUCCAUUGUCGUCCCACUGCAUAGAAUACCUGAAAAGACACUAAAAGACUCGAGAAAUAACAUAAACACUAAAAAUCCUAUACCUAAAACGUAGCUAAAAUCAGUAAAAAU